rnacentral:rRNA from 1 species
AGAGUUUGCUUCUGGCUCAGGAUGAACGCAGGCGGCGUGCCUAAUACAUGCAAGUCGAACGCACAGCGAAAGGUGCUUGCACCUUUCAAGUGAGUGGCGAACGGGUGAGUAACACGUGGAUAACCUACCUCAAGGUUGGGGAUAACAUUUGGAAACAGAUGCUAAUACCGAAUAAAACUUCGUAUCGCAUGAUACAAGGUUAAAAGGCGCUACGGCGUCACCUAGAGAUGGAUCCGCGGUGCAUUAGUUAGUUGGUGGGGUAAAGGCCUACCAAGACAAUGAUGCAUAGCCGAGUUGAGAGACUGAUCGGCCACAUUGGGACUGAGACACGGCCCAAACUCCUACGGGAGGCUGCAGUAGGGAAUCUUCCACAAUGGGCGAAAGCCUGAUGGAGCAACGCCGCGUGUGUGAUGAAGGCUUUCGGGUCGUAAAGCACUGUUGUAUGGGAAGAACAGCUAGAGUAGGGAAUGACUUUAGUUUGACGGUACCAUACCAGAAAGGGACGGCUAAAUACGUGCCAGCAGCCGCGGUAAUACGUAUGUCCCGAGCGUUAUCCGGAUUUUAUUGGGCGUAAAGCCGAGCGCAGACGGUUGAUUAAGUCUGAUGUGAAAGCCCGGAGCUCAACUCCGGAAAGGCAUUGGAAACUGGUCAACUUGAGUGCAGUAGAGGUAAGUGGAACUCCAUGUGUAGCGGUGGAAUGCGUAGAUAUAUGGAAGAACACCAGCGGCGAAGGCGGCUUACUGGACUGUAACUGACGUUGAGGCUCGAAAGUGUGGGUAGCAAACAGGAUUAGAUACCCUGGUAGUCCACACCGUAAACGAUGAACACUAGGUGUUAGGAGGUUUCCGCCUCUUAGUGCCGAAGCUAACGCAUUAAGUGUUCCGCCUGGGGAGUACGACCGCAAGGUUGAAACUCAAAGGAAUUGACGGGGACCCGCACAAGCGGUGGAGCAUGUGGUUUAAUUCGAAGCAACGCGAAGAACCUUACCAGGUCUUGACAUCCUUUGAAGCUUUUAGAGAUAGAAGUGUUCUCUUCGGAGACAAAGUGACAGGUGGUGCAUGGUCGUCGUCAGCUCGUGUCGUGAGAUGUUGGGUUAAGUCCCGCAACGAGCGCAACCCUUAUUGUUAGUUGCCAGCAUUCAGAUGGGCACUCUAGCGAGACUGCCGGUGACAAACCGGAGGAAGGCGGGGACGACGUCAGAUCAUCAUGCCCCUUAUGACCUGGGCUACACACGUGCUACAAUGGCGUAUACAACGAGUUGCCAACCUGUGAAGGUGAGCUAAUCUCUUAAAGUACGUCUCAGUUCGGACUGCAGUCUGCAACUCGACUGCACGAAGUCGGAAUCGCUAGUAAUCGCGGAUCAGCACGCCGCGGUGAAUACGUUCCCGGGUCUUGUACACACCGCCCGUCA